rnacentral:rRNA from 1 species
UACGAAGGGGGCUAGCGUUGCUCGGAAUCACUGGGCGUAAAGCGCACGUAGGCGGAUUCCUAAGUCGGGGGUGAAAUCCUGGAGCUCAACUCCAGAACUGCCUUCGAUACUGGGAAUCUUGAGUCCGGAAGAGGUGAGUGGAACUGCGAGUGUAGAGGUGAAAUUCGUAGAUAUUCGCAAGAACACCAGUGGCGAAGGCGGCUCACUGGUCCGGUACUGACGCUGAGGCACGAAAGCGUGGGGAGCAAACAGG